rnacentral:rRNA from 1 species
CAGUAGCCGCGGUAAAACGUAGGGUGCAAGCGUUAAUCGGAAUUACUGGGCGUAAAGCGUGCGCAGGCGGUUUUGUAAGACAGAGGUGAAAUCCCCGGGCUCAACCUGGGAACUGCCUUUGUGACUGCAAGGCUAGAGUACGGCAGAGGGGGAUGGAAUUCCGCGUGUAGCAGUGAAAUGCGUAGAUAUGCGGAGGAACACCGAUGGCGAAGGCAAUCCCCUGGGCCUGUACUGACGCUCAUGCACGAAAGCGUGGGGAGCAAACAGGAUUAGAUACCCGAGUAGUCCCUGUCUCUUAUAC